rnacentral:rRNA from 1 species
AGAGUUUGAUCAUGGCUCAGAAUCAACGCUGGCGGCGUGCCUAACACAUGCAAGUCGCACGAGAAAGUGGAGCAAUCCAUGAGUAAAGUGGCGCACGGGUGAGUAACACGUGAAUUAUCUACCUCCGAGUGGGGAAUAACUGAGAGAAAUCUUAGCUAAUACCGCAUAACACUUACGAGUCAAAGCAGCAAUGCGCUUGGAGAGGAGUUCGCGGCCGAUUAGUUAGUUGGCGGGGUAAUGGCCCACCAAGACGAUGAUCGGUAUCCGGCCUGAGAGGGCGCACGGACACACUGGAACUGAAACACGGUCCAGACUCCUACGGGAGGCAGCAGUGGGGAAUUUUGCGCAAUGGGGGAAACCCUGACGCAGCAACGCCGCGUGGAGGAUGAAAUCCCUUGGGAUGUAAGCUCCUUUCGAUAGGGAAGAUAAUGACGGUACCUAUAGAAGAAGCCCCGGCUAACUUCGUGCCAGCAGCCGCGGUAAUACGAGGGGGGCAAGCGUUGUUCGGAAUUAUUGGGCGUAAAGGGUGCGUAGGCGGUUUGACAAGUCUGAUGUGAAAUCUAUGGGCUCAACCCAUAGUCUGCAUUAGAAACUGUCGGGCUUGAGUAUGGGAGAGGUGAGUGGAAUUUCCGGUGUAGCGGUGAAAUGCGUAGAUAUCGGAAGGAACACCUGUGGCGAAAGCGGCUCACUGGACCAUUACUGACGCUGAUGCACGAAAGCUAGGGGAGCAAACAGGAUUAGAUACCCUAGUAGUCC